rnacentral:rRNA from 1 species
UACGUAGGCAGCAAGCGUUGUUCGGAGUUACUGGGCGUAAAGGGUGUGUAGGCGGUUCCUUAAGUUUGCUGUGAAAUCUCCCGGCUUAACCGGGAGGGUGCGGUGAAUACUGAGGGACUAGAGUACGGGAGAGGAAAGUGGAAUUCCUGGUGUAGCGGUGAAAUGCGUAGAUAUCAGGAGGAACACCGGUGGUGUAGACGGCUUUCUGGACCGUAACUGACGCUGAGACACGAAAGCGUGGAGAGCGAACAGG